UUUUUUUUCUUUUUUUUUUUGUCGUUCAUUUUAUUUUUUUCGCUCGUUUCUAAUUCGUCGUUACACACGUUCGGAGCUCCGCCGCGCUCCAGCCAUAGCCUAGGCAUCGCGCGCAUAGAGACGUAGUAGAUCUGUGACAUAGGCAAGCAUACGAACACGGUCGUGUACAGGAAAUGAGCGCGAGAUCGAAAUAAAUUCCUAUCCAUCUCGAUAUCGAAGUGGAGUAGGAUAUUUUUACGUUCAUGGUCCGCACAGCUGAUGGGAACGUCCACGCGCAGCGGAAAGAAAGAGAGAAAAUACCGAAGGAAGAGAAAAAAAGGAACAAUUAAGAUAUACGUAUAUUGCAGUCAUACUUUAUUUAUGAGCAACGAAACCACAGACGCUAACCCAACCCGAGAACUGUGCUACUACUUUGCUCUAUGAGUCCGCAAGAACCCUGUACUGCAUGUUAGAAUAAGGGGGACAGCGAAUGAACUUUGUACCCGCAGAGCGGAGAGUCGGAGAGAUAAAUACAUUAAAAUAAACUUUGAUUUAAUCACCUUUGAUUAAUCGAGUUCUUCUCUCUCCAAUUAAUGGGACAAAUCGAGGAUAGGAGAAAACGGAAUGGAAUGUAAAUACAAGAAACGUGCGACAAGAUCGACAAAUAAUUCACGUGCUGUAUCGAACAAAACUGUGAAUAAAAAAUGCAAUUAAAUUAA